CAUGCAAGUCGAACGAGAGAGAAGGAGCUUGCUUCUUCGAUCGAGUGGCGAACGGGUGAGUAACGCGUGAGGAACCUGCCUCAAAGAGGGGGACAACAGUUGGAAACGACUGCUAAUACCGCAUAAGCCCACGGGUCGGCAUCGACCUGAGGGAAAAGGAGUGAUCCGCUUUGAGAUGGCCUCGCGUCCGAUUAGCUGGUUGGUGAGGUAACGGCCCACCAAGGCGACGAUCGGUAGCCGGACUGAGAGGUUGAACGGCCACAUUGGGACUGAGACACGGCCCAGACUCCUACGGGAGGCAGCAGUGGGGAAUAUUGCACAAUGGGGGAAACCCUGAUGCAGCGACGCCGCGUGGAGGAAGAAGGUCUUCGGAUUGUAAACUCCUGUUGUUGAGGAAGAUAAUGACGGUACUCAACAAGGAAGUGACGGCUAACUACGUGCCAGCAGCCGCGGUAAAACGUAGGUCACAAGCGUUGUCCGGAAUUACUGGGUGUAAAGGGAGCGCAGGCGGGAAGACAAGUUGGAAGUGAAAUCUAUGGGCUCAACCCAUAAACUGCUUUCAAAACUGUUUUUCUUGAGUAGUGCAGAGGUAGGCGGAAUUCCCGGUGUAGCGGUGGAAUGCGUAGAUAUCGGGAGGAACACCAGUGGCGAAGGCGGCCUACUGGGCACCAACUGACGCUGAGGCUCGAAAGUGUGGGUAGCAAACAGGAUUAGAUACCCUGGUAGUCCACACCGUAAACGAUGAUUACUAGGUGUUGGAGGAUUGACCCCUUCAGUGCCGCAGUUAACACAAUAAGUAAUCCACCUGGGGAGUACGACCGCAAGGUUGAAACU
rnacentral:rRNA from 1 species